GGACCGAGGAGUCCGACAAGGCGGCGAGCCUACGGCAAACUGAUCGCUGCGGGCGCAGCGAAGGCGCGUGCGCUUCCGCGACGUCCCGUUCGCGCGGGACGUCCGGUCGCGCCGGUGCGAGGCGAUGGCGGCGGCGGUCGGUCGGUUCGUCCGGUCCGGCCGCUCGGCCGCCCGCAGCCUCGAGACGGUCUCGUAUCGCAUUCGAGUCGUACUCGUAGCCGCCGUGUCGGGACCCGAAAGGCGGUGAACUAUACCCGGCCAGGGUGAAGUUAGGGGAAACCCUGAUGCAGGCCCGUCGCGUUUCUAACGUGCAAAUUGAUCGUCUGAGCCGGGUAUAGGGGCGAAAGACCAAUCGAACCGUCUAGUAGCUGGUUCCUUUCGAAGUUUCCCUCAGGAUAGCUGAAACGAGAGUCUAGCGAAUUAGUCGCGUGAGGUAAAGCGAAUGAUUAGAGGCAUUGGGGCUGAAACGGUCUUAACCUAUUCUCAAACUUUCAAUAUGCGCUCGCCGGCGACUUGCGACUCUGCCGGCGGCGCGACUUCGGUCGCGUCGCUCCGGUGCCGAAGUCGACCGGACGAUAGAGCGUUUCUAGUGGGCCAGCCCUGGUAAGCAGGACCGGCGAUGUGGGAUGAACCAAACGCACAAGUUAGAGUGCCGAAAAGUAUGUUAAUCAGAAACCACAAAAGGCGUUAGUAACUAAAGACAGCAGGACGGUGGACAUGGAAGUAGUA
rnacentral:rRNA from 1 species